AUCUCUGCGUGACUUCCGCCAGCGUUUAGAGCGUUUUCGGGGUCCGAGUUGAAGAGCAAAACCAAGUGAAGGAAACUUCACUAAGUUCAGGGUGACAAGGGAGGAAGUACAGAGACUGCACUUUAAAUUCUGGAUGACAGACCUAUCAGGACUGAGUGGACCUUUGAGUGACAAGAUGGGGGUGUUCCAAAGAGACCAUGGCAGCCUGCAGCUAGGACUUUAAUAAACAGAGCGCUUAAAAAGCACUGUCUGGAUAUCUUCAGAGGGAAAAAGGAGAAAGUUAACUGAAUUGGUGACACUUCGGGUCUCUCACAGAGGAAGAGACCACCAAACCAACAGAAGCCACCAGGACAGCACACAGCCAUUCCAAAAUUCCAGACCAGGAUCAUUCCAGAAAAGCCUUACAUCUCAGUCCAGUAUAUGGAUGGUUUUGUAAGAUGACCUAUGAUUUUUCUGUUCCUCCUUCCUGCCCCUAACUUCAGAGAAACAGACCUAGAAAGAGGGAAGGAAGGAGUGAAAAAGCGUGCCAUACUUUAUCUUCUCCCCUUCUGUUUUAAACUAGACAAAUCUAUAUUUUAAUUAUUAUAAGUAACCAGAAAGUUAUAUGGUCUGGCCAGGAUGGCAUUAAAGAAAAUGAGAGAGAAAAGUUUAAGAUAGCAUGGUUGGAGACAAUAAGUAGAAGAAACCAAGUAGUUCAAGUUUUAUAACGCUCUAUCUUAUAAACACUCUUGAACCAAUAAUAAUGCUAUUACUGAAAUGCUACACACAAUUGAAGACUACUUGUUAGACCAAGACCUUAAAAACUUCUUUACUGAUUAUUCCCAAUGUGUGGCCCUGGUAAUCAUUGAAGAAUCAUUGUAUUGACUAUUAAACAUCUAGGGAUCACCUGUUUAAAUCAAGUUAACAAAACACUUACUUAACAAAUAUAUAUUGAUUGCCUAUUAUGAAGUAGAUGCUAUAGUAGGUGCUGGCAGUAUAAACAUGAAAAGAGACAUUGUGUGUGCAUAUUAAUAUACAGCAAAUUAAACUUCAGCCAGAGAAGUACUUUACUAGAAGGUUGAUAGAAGUGUGGUGGUAGCUUGCAGGAGGAAGCAGUUAGCCUCCUUGGAAAUGAGUAAUCUUCACAGAAAGUAUGACAUUUGACCUGCUUCUUGGAGAAGAUGCAUAUUAAACCUAUUAAAUCCAUGUCAGCCUUUAACACCUUUGCUCAGAUUAGUUUCUCGAGCUGUUUUCCCACCUGGUGAGCAGAUAAGAGCAGGACAGGAAAGUUCUGAUGAAAGGAAGAAGUGCCAGAGAGAGAAGGCCUUGCAAGCAAAGAAGCCUGACAGGCAGGAGCCCCUGAGUAUCCUAAGGAGAAGUACCAGCGAUUUAGGGAAGAAAAUUGCUGCCAGAAGUGCAGGAAAUAAAAAUUCUGACCUA
rnacentral:lncRNA from 1 species